CCUCGGGGACGCCCAGCCCGCCCGGCCCCGCGGCCCCGCCAAGGUCACCCGACCGCGUGCGACCCGCCCCAGCCCCGCUGACCAGCCGCAGGCUCCGCAGCGCCGGGUGCUCCCGCAUGGAGCGGCUCAGCAGCUCGGCGGUCUCAGCCCACGAGAAGGGAGAAAGCAUCGCCUCGGAGCCCUGCAGCGCCUUUUCCAGGGGCCUGAAACCACACCUGGAGCGUCUGACUCCCUGCUGUACUCAAAAUUACGCCCUCCAAAAGUGAGGCCUGAUUUUCCUCAGGGGUGAGCUUUCUUGCAGGAGGUGCCCCGUCCCAUGUGGCAGGCCCAGCCCCUCCCCUCCCAAUGGAAAACUGGCAGAAAGGCAGAUGCCUCCUGGGAGAGAAAGGACAAGACUCCACUUCUUCCUGUGUAGGAUUUGAAGGUAUUAAGAACUUUUGGAAGAUCUCCCUCUGCCUCUCUGAGGACACUUGUCAUCGAAUUUAGGAUCCACCUAGAUAAUACAGGACAAGCUCCUCCGGAGAUCCUCUGCUUACUCACACCUUUUGCCAUAGAAGGUCUGACUCCUCAAGCUUUGCUAUUUUCUCUUCCUUUCACUGUUCAAGAGGCUCUUUCACUCACCUGAGGAUCCCCUGAAGUGCUUAGCCCGAUGAGGGAGAUGACAGCUGGAUGCCAGGGAAACAGCCUGUUCUCUACAGCUGGACAGACUGCGCUCAGUUCCCGGUUCCACCACGGACUGACUGUGUGAUCUUGAGCGAAUUGCUCUACUUCUCUGGGUCUCCAGCUUUUUGUUGGUAGAAUGGGAAAAUAUUAUCUACUUCCUGGGAUUGUGGGCCUCAGUGGGAAAAUAGAACAGUUCCUCUGGAAGUGUCAAGAAGGAAGAGGAUCCCUUGGGAAGGUGGACGGUGGGGUCCAUCCUGGACACAUGCCUCACUGAAGCCCUUGCUGAGGUCUUACCUGUCCAUUGCUCACUUAGCAUAAGCUCACUGGAGGUCAGGUGAAUAAACAGAUAACUCUCCCAGAGACAGCUGGUCAACCCCAAUCACAGCCCUCCAGCGGAGCACUUGCGCUGUCUUUAGGAGCCUAGGCCGGGAAGGACUUUGGUUUUCUCUUGAACUUUCUGGGUGAGUUAUACGCAGCAGGUGUAGCUUGCUAAUGCUCCAAGUGCCUUCCCCACUCUGCACUGGGAGGCCCAGGAAAAUGUGCCUGAGGGCUCCCCACAGGUUGUUGCGUGGGGUGGUGGCAGAAAAGUUACCUCCGUGCCCACCAGACAAGUGUACGUGGAAUGACCCCAUAGCAGCAUUUUGAGGGAUUGGUGGUGGUGGGGGGGGACUUCAUGAUUCCUUAAGAAGUCGGUUGAACUUCAUACCGACAAAUGUGAAAGUUUAGCUAAAAUGGACAAAGUCCUAGAAAAACACAAAAGAUCAAAACUGAGAAAAGAAUAUAGAAAGCCUAAAUAAUCUUAAAACUAUUAAAAAAAAUCUGGCUGCUUCAUUAAAGAUCUCCCCACAGAGAAAACACCAGGCUCCAGCUGCAGUUCUUCCUUUGGCAGUUAUUGGGCAUUUGCUGGUAUUACAGCCAAAAAUUUGAUCUAUAUUCACUUUCUUAGGCCUGUGUCCCACACACUCCUGAGAUAAGGAGAGCUAUGUUGGAAUCCUCUUUCCCACCCUUACCCCAGAAGGGAGGUCACGCAGCAUCCUUUUCAUAAAUCCCUCCUAUUUCUUCAAUGGUUUGAGUGGGUAACCCAAAGAAGUUUUAUGAGAAUAUUAAGAGUCUAUGUGUUCAGCAAGUCACCUAUAUUGAUUUUAUUCAAUGUACACAAGCGUGCAAGACACACAUUAUUAUUCCCGUCUGAGGUUCAGAGGAGUGGACUAAUUUGUCCACAUCACAGAGUUAGUGAGAAGGGAUAAGGGAAAGAUGGAACCCAGGAGCAUCUGCCUCCAAAGCCUGUUCCUUUCCUGCUGUACCCCACUGCUGUCCACAACAAGCCUGUUUCUUCCUCGAGGAAAGAACAUCAUGAUGGAAUCCUCUCCUCCCCCAGCCCCUCUUUCCAGGUUGCAGCAUCUAGGUCAGAAUUCCAUGUCCCUCCCACCCUGGUUACAACGCUCAGGGAUUUCUUCAGUUGGUCAAUGACCCUCUUUGCAUAGCAGCCCCCAGAACUGAGGCUGGCAUUCAAGGCAUGGUUGGCUAUUGUGUUUACCUAUUGCUGGGUUAAAAAUGACCCAAACUUAGUGGCAAACCAUAUAUUAUACCCACUUGACUGUGGGUCAGCAAUUGGAGUAGGGUACAGCAGCAAUGCCUUGUUUCUGCUCCAUGGUUUCAUCUGGAAGACCUGAAGGCUGAAGGUGACUCAGUUGCUGGAGGCUCCUUGGCUCAGGUAUGUGAUCGCUGGUGCUGGCUGUUGGCUGUGACCUUAGCUGGGACCGUUGGCCAGAAUAUCUCUGUGCAGCCUUUCCAUAUGGCUUUGGCUUCCUCCCAGUUUCGUGGCUAGACUCCUGCGUGGGAGAGCCGGGAGAAAGCCUGUGUUGCCUCUUCUGACUUAGGUGUACACUAUCACAUGGGUGACAUACGGUUCGCUGAGGCAGCCACAAAGUCCUACCCAAUUUCAAAAGAGGAGAGAUAGACUCUACUUCUGGAUGGGCAAGUGUCGAGGUUCUAAAAGAGCAGGUGGGACUGGAAAUAACUGCUGUGGCCAUUUCUGGAAAAUACAGCGUGCCUCAUGGGGCCUCGCUCAGAGGAAGCUUUCCAUACAAGAGGACUUGAGAGUAUCACAAUGUCAUUCAUUCAGUCAACACACAGCGAUCGAAGUGUCUUCCACGUGCCGGGUCCUCAGUGUACUCCCCCCCACCCCUCCCAACCACUCCCCAAGAGGCCCUGAGAGAUUUGAUCAAGAUGAGGGAACUUUGGGCUUAAUUCUCUCCAACCUUCUGGGAAACAUUGCUCUGGGUCGCUGUGGCUACAGUUCAGAGAAUAAUUUCUCUCUCUGGGGGCUGCUGUUAAAUUGAAGUUUUAUACUCCUAUUCCUGAGAAAGCAGGUAUAUUGAACAACUAAACAGUUUCUGCUUUUUGAAGAAAAAAAUUUUUGUUUUUUACUUCUAUACAGCUCUUAUUUUUGUUGGCCCACAAAAGUCUUGGGUCCCUCAACAGGAGGGAGAUUCCUGCCCUUUUGAUGAGACUCAGAAGCACGGUAAUCCAUUUGUGAAUUAGCUCUCUGCAGCGUCGAGGGGGAAGCUGGGAGAGCUCCUCUACCCCCUUUUCUUUAGCGCAUGAGCUAAACGGGUUCACUUGCUAGCACCCUGAAAAAUGUGAUGAUCUGGUCACGACAAGCUGAGGUGUAGUGAGCAUAAUAAUCACAAUACUAACCAGGACGUAUCAUACUCCAGGCUCCGGCCUGAGCAUUUUACGCACUGUCCCAUUUAAACCUCCUAACGGUGCUAUGAGGAAGGUACUAAAAUUGUUUUUACGGAUGAGGACACUACCUACUAAGGUUCAGAGAAGCUAGACAAUUUACCCAGGGGUACACAGCUAGGAAUUGGUGGAAUUGGGACUUGAAUCCAGAGAUUCAAAUGGACUCCAGAGACUGUUCUCUUAACAUCUAUCUGGCUAUGCUGUACAGAAACAGGCUGGUCAGCUUAAAGGGAGGGGUAAGAAUCAGAGUACAACAGGCUCUGGGUUUUGGGUCUCUCUUGGUUGGGUGACUCAUUCUGCUGCCUCAGUCUUCUCAUUCAUAAAUGGGGAUGAUACUUACCUGAGCGAGUUGUGUAAAACACCAGUAUAGUCCUCCAGACCCAGUGGAUGCCCAGUGGAUGCUCAGGGGACUAGGGGAGUCCCCUUCCCUUUCUCCUUCCUUCGUAAUGUGCCUUGGUCUCCCUUCCCAGAAGUAGGGGGAUGGACAGGAGUAUUUUCUUACCCAUAGCUGCUCUAAAAUCCCUGGUUCCCUAAGCUCCUGCUGGAUUUCAGGACUCCAAUCCCUCUCCAUCGUGCUUUUCAUUGGGAGAACUUUAAAUGAUUUUAUAAAAACUGCAAAUGUACAAGGUAAUUGAGUCUUCUGUUUUAUUACCCUGAGCUGCCUGGACCUUGCCUGGCCUCCUCCUCACUCACCGAGCUGCCGGAAUAAAGUUGGAAGUGUUUGUGCUGUACUUUAAUCAGCAUUUAAUGACCCAGCCGAACAUCCAUCAUUCAGAGCCAGGCACUGGUGGGAAGGGCUAGAGGGGAAGCCUGCCUUCUUUCAUUGUCUACGGCAGGCCAUGGAGUGGUCAGCGAGUCCAGCCACACCAACUUCAUUCCCAGAGACUUCAGCAGAGGCUAAUCCUGCUCAUCUCAGGUGGGAGACAGUGAAUGGACAUUAAAGAUAGAGUCUCUGUGUUGGCUAAUCCCAUUCCCUACUCAAAUGGAGCCUAAGAAGGCUCCAGUGGGGUCAUGUCCCCAUUCCUGGAAGCCAAGCUGGGUUAAUCUAUUCCAUCUAUCCCUUUCUCCCUCUCCUCCUGAACAUUCCUACUCCUUUCCCCUCCCAGCAUGAAACCUUGCCUGAACUGGACACCCUUCUAAACCAGCCCAGGAAAAAGUGACUCAACUCAGAUUCACCCUGGUUACAGGGGGAGGGGUUUAUAACUGCCAAAGUACCUUCAUGUCUUGCAACCAUUAUUUUAGGGAGACUUCCAAGAGAGGGCAGUCGGGGUAAAUGCCUCUCACCAGCUGCCUGUUCAAACCAUUGCUCCACAUACCAUGGCUCAUAAAUCCUACCCCGACACUGCCGAGUGGUUACAUCAUCUCCAAACCUCAUGCAACAAUUCGAUUUGGAAAUAAAAAAGCAGGUGUUAAUUGACUCACUCCCUCUGCCCCUUUGUGGUGCCCCUGACCCUCGAUAGCUUUUAACCUCACAGUUAAUAAAAGUUUGGGGCCCAGUCCCAGAACAGUUCCUCAUUCAUUCUUCAUAACGUCAGCAAAUUCUUACUGAGAAACUAUAAUGUAAGUCAUUGGCCAGUCCCUUAGGGGAGAGUGUUAGGUGGCCAAAGAUGAGCAAGAAGCAUUUCAUGCCUGAGCAAAGCUUCCAGAGGAUGAUCACAAAUCAUGCAGAUUUGGGCAGCAGGUGCUAUGUGUCCCCACAGAAGACCUGGGUGCAGCCAGUUAUAGAAGAGUCUCUAGCUCUUGAAUUGAGUUCUUCUGAAUUUGCUUGCCCAGGAUCCAUCCCUCCUCCCAGAGCACCCAGAUUCUUCUUGGGGGAAUUUGUAUCCCCCUAAGCUGACAUAGUCACAAAUGGGGUUCGAAUGUCUGGGGCUCCUAGGGAUCAGCCCAUGACCAGAGCUAGCCAGUCAGAGCAGGUCAGCCCCCUGGCCACAAUGGUUAGUUCAGUGAUGGGCAUGCAACCGAAGCUAGGCUAAUAAACACGACUGCAUCAACUACUGGGGAGGAAGAGCUCUUUUUCCAAUUGGGGUUGGCCGGAAGUAAGUCUGGGGCUGUUCACAGUCUCUUGCCCUCACUCUGGAGAUGCUUCCUGAGCCCUGGAGUGAAGCCAUCACUUCACUCCCUCCUUGGUCUCUUGUACCACUGUGAACAGCUCUUGUGUGUGUAUUAUCCCGGGUCCAAGG